rnacentral:rRNA from 1 species
UGGGGAAUAUUGGACAAUGGGCGCAAGCCUGAUCCAGCAAUGCCGCGUGAGUGAUGAAGGCCUUAGGGUUGUAAAGCUCUUUUACCCGGGAUGAUAAUGACAGUACCGGGAGAAUAAGCUCCGGCUAACUCCGUGCCAGCAGCCGCGGUAAUACGGAGGGAGCUAGCGUUGUUCGGAAUUACUGGGCGUAAAGCGCGCGUAGGCGGCUUUGUAAGUUAGAGGUGAAAGCCCGGGGCUCAACCCCGGAACUGCCUUUAAGACUGCAUCGCUUGAAUCCGGGAGAGGUGAGUGGAAUUCCGAGUGUAGAGGUGAAAUUCGUAGAUAUUCGGAAGAACACCAGUGGCGAAGGCGGCUCACUGGACCGGUAUUGACGCUGAGGUGCGAAAGCGUGGGGAGCAAACA